rnacentral:rRNA from 1 species
UACGUAGGGUGCAAGCGUUAAUCGGAAUUACUGGGCGUAAAGCGUGCGCAGGCGGUUUUGUAAGUCUGUCGUGAAAUCCCCGGGCUCAACCUGGGAAUUGCGAUGGAGACUGCAAGGCUAGAAUCUGGCAGAGGGGGGUAGAAUUCCACGUGUAGCAGUGAAAUGCGUAGAGAUGUGGAGGAACACCGAUGGCGAAGGCAGCCCCCUGGGUCAAGAUUGACGCUACAUGCACGAAAGGCGUGGGGAGCAAACGAGG